UGUUUAUUGAUAAAAUCUAUAUUUUUUCAGCUUGCCAUCUAAAGAUGAUACUGUUUGCUACUAUAAAUGGUUCUCUUGAGCGGCUUUUACAUUGAGAGAAGGUGAAAAUCAUAAGUUCCGGAUUAAGGCCUGCUUGUUCAGCGAUUUGAAUCUGCAGAAAGAUGAUGGAUUGCUACGCAUGAAAACGGUAUCUUGGAAAAAUCGUCCAGGAAUUCAGCAUUUAGAUUUCCUUCUGGACCCAACUACAACAUAAUGAAGUGACCAAUGCGAGCUGUCAAUGAUCAAGUAUUAUAUAUUUAUUACGAAAUAUGCGUACAAAGUUUAUGAAAAUAAAAUUUGAAUAAACAGAUUUUUGAAGAAUCAAUUUAUCAUAAUUAUUAAUAAGACUCCACAUAACUCAUAUAACCAGUACAAAUCGUACGCAUAUGAGCUUCAUAUAUAUUUAAUAACUUUUUUCCGACAAGCAAAAUCAUUUUGUAUAGAAAAUGCUUAUGAAAUUAUCGUCACUAUCCGUACAUAAAAACUGAAUGUUUUCAAUAUAA